CGGCGGACGGGUGAGUAACACGUAUCCAACCUGCCGUCUACUCUUGGACAGCCUUCUGAAAGGAAGAUUAAUACAAGAUGGCAUCAUGAGUCCGCAUGUUCACAUGAUUAAAGGUAUUCCGGUAGACGAUGGGGAUGCGUUCCAUUAGAUAGUAGGCGGGGUAACGGCCCACCUAGUCUUCGAUGGAUAGGGGUUCUGAGAGGAAGGUCCCCCACAUUGGAACUGAGACACGGUCCAA
rnacentral:rRNA from 1 species